GUAAAGGCAAAAUUACUGAAAAGUAAUGACGCAAAGCUAUAGGGUCUUCUGUCUUUAUGACAAAGUCAGCCAGCUACCA
rnacentral:ncRNA from 1 species